AAUAGUAGCGAUAGCACGUUGAAAGCACCACUACCCGUUGGUUCAUUGAAGCAACGUUGUGCGUGGUUAGUAUCCGGAUGGGUGACGAUUUAGGCAAUCGCGUGCGGCUUUUC
rfam:Asian citrus Psyllid, Diaphorina citri - Florida Strain, whole genome shotgun sequence.